UACGUAGGUGACAAGCGUUGUCCGGAUUUACUGGGCGUAAAGGGUGCGUAGGCGGCGCGGUAAGUCGGGUGUGAAAUCUCGGAGCUUAACUCCGAAACUGCAUUCGAUACUGCCGUGCUUGAGGACUGGAGAGGAGACUGGAAUUUACGGUGUAGCGGUGAAAUGCGUAGAUAUCGUAAGGAAGACCAGUGGCGAAGGCGGGUCUCUGGACAGUUCCUGACGCUGAGGCACGAAGGUCAGGGGAGCAAACGGG
rnacentral:rRNA from 1 species